rnacentral:rRNA from 2 species
UCAUGAUGAACGCUGGCGGUGUGCCUAAUACAUGCAAGUCGAACGCGUUGGCCCAAUUGAUUGAUGGUGCUUGCACCUGAUUGAUUUUGGUCGCCAACGAGUGGCGGACGGGUGAGUAACACGUAGGUAACCUGCCCAGAAGCGGGGGACAACAUUUGGAAACAGAUGCUAAUACCGCAUAACAACGUUGUUCGCAUGAACAACGCUUAAAAGAUGGCUUCUCGCUAUCACUUCUGGAUGGACCUGCGGUGCAUUAGCUUGUUGGUGGGGUAACGGCCUACCAAGGCGAUGAUGCAUAGCCGAGUUGAGAGACUGAUCGGCCACAAUGGGACUGAGACACGGCCCAUACUCCUACGGGAGGCAGCAGUAGGGAAUCUUCCACAAUGGGCGCAAGCCUGAUGGAGCAACACCGCGUGAGUGAAGAAGGGUUUCGGCUCGUAAAGCUCUGUUGUUAAAGAAGAACACGUAUGAGAGUAACUGUUCAUACGUUGACGGUAUUUAACCAGAAAGUCACGGCUAACUACGUGCCAGCAGCCGCGGUAAUACGUAGGUGGCAAGCGUUAUCCGGAUUUAUUGGGCGUAAAGAGAGUGCAGGCGGUUUUCUAAGUCUGAUGUGAAAGCCUUCGGCUUAACCGGAGAAGUGCAUCGGAAACUGGAUAACUUGAGUGCAGAAGAGGGUAGUGGAACUCCAUGUGUAGCGGUGGAAUGCGUAGAUAUAUGGAAGAACACCAGUGGCGAAGGCGGCUACCUGGUCUGCAACUGACGCUGAGACUCGAAAGCAUGGGUAGCGAACAGGAUUAGAUACCCUGGUAGUCCAUGCCGUAAACGAUGAGUGCUAGGUGUUGGAGGGUUUCCGCCCUUCAGUGCCGGAGCUAACGCAUUAAGCACUCCGCCUGGGGAGUACGACCGCAAGGUUGAAACUCAAAGGAAUUGACGGGGGCCCGCACAAGCGGUGGAGCAUGUGGUUUAAUUCGAAGCUACGCGAAGAACCUUACCAGGUCUUGACAUCUUGCGCCAACCCUAGAAGAUAGGGCGUUUCCUUCGGGAACGCAAUGACAGGUGGUGCAUGGUCCUCCUCAGCUCCGGUCCUGAGAAUGUUGGGGUUAAGUCCCGCAACGAG